GACGAACGCUGGCGGCGUGCUUAACACAUGCAAGUCGAACGGAAAGGCCCUGCUUUUGUGGGGUGCUCGAGUGGCGAACGGGUGAGUAACACGUGAGUAACCUGCCCUUGACUUUGGGAUAACUUCAGGAAACUGGGGCUAAUACCGGAUAGGAGCUCCUGCUGCAUGGUGGGGGUUGGAAAGUUUCGGCGGUUGGGGAUGGACUGGCGGCUUAUCAGCUUGUUGGUGGGGUAGUGGCUUACCAAGGCUUUGACGGGUAGCCGGCCUGAGAGGGUGACCGGCCACAUUGCGACUAAGAUACGGCCCAGACUCCUACGGGAGGCAGCGGUGGGGAAUAUUGCACAGUGGGCGGGAGCCUGAUGCGGCAGCGCCGCGUGCGGGAUGACGGCCUUCGGGUUGUAAACCGCUUUCGCCUGUGACGAAGCGUGAGUGACGGUAAUGGGUAAAGAAGCACCGGCUAACUACGUG
rnacentral:rRNA from 1 species